AUUGAACGCUGGCGGCAGGCCUAACACAUGCAAGUCGAACGAGAGGCGGACGGGUGAGUAAUGAAUGGGAAUCUGCCCGAUGGCGGGGGAUAACUACUGGAAACGGUGGCUAAUAACGCAUAACAACAGAUGAGUCAAUAUGGGAUUAGCUAGUUGGUGGGGUAAAGGCUCACCUAGGCAACGAUGUAGAGCCGGACUGAGAGGGUGAUGAGCCAAACUGGGACUGCGACACGGCCCAGACUCCUACGGGAGGCAGCAGUAGGGAAUAGUGGGCAAUGGCCGAAAGCCUGACCCAGCAACGCCGCGUGUGUGAAGAAGGGCUUCGGAUUGUAAAGCACUGUCAUUAGAGAAGCGGUACCUACACAAAAAGCAACGGCUAACUUCGUGCCAGCAGCCGCGGUAAUAC
rnacentral:rRNA from 1 species